UAGGGAAUCUUCGUCAAUGGACGACAGUCUGACCGAGCAACGCCGCGUGAGUGAAGAAGGUUUUCGGAUCGUAAAACUCUGUUGUUAGAGAAGAACAAGGACGUUAGUAACUGAACGUCCCCUGACGGUAUCUAACCAGAAAGCCACGGCUAACUACGUGCCAGCAGCCGCGGUAAUACGUAGGUGGCAAGCGUUGUCCGGAUUUAUUGGGCGUAAAGCGAGCGCAGGCGGUUUCUUAAGUCUGAUGUGAAAGCCCCCGGCUCAACCGGGGAGGGUCAUUGGAAACUGGGAGACUUGAGUGCAGAAGAGGAGAGUGGAAUUCCAUGUGUAGCGGUGAAAUGCGUAGAUAUAUGGAGGAACACCAGUGGCGAAGGCGGCUCUCUGGUCUGUAACUGACGCUGAGGCUCGAAAGCGUGGGGAGCAAACAGG
rnacentral:rRNA from 1 species